rnacentral:rRNA from 1 species
GAUGAACGCUGGCGGCGUGCCUAAUACAUGCAAGUCGAGCGAACAGAUGAGGAGCUUGCUCCUCUGACGUUAGCGGCGGACGGGUGAGUAACACGUGGAUAACCUACCUAUAAGACUGGGAUAACUUCGGGAAACCGGAGCUAAUACCGGAUAAUAUAUUGAACCGCAUGGUUCAAUAGUGAAAGACGGUUUUGCUGUCACUUAUAGAUGGAUCCGCGCCGCAUUAGCUAGUUGGUAAGGUAACGACUUACCAAGGCAACGAUGCGUAGCCGACCUGAGAGGGUGAUCGGCCACACUGGAACUGAGACACGGUCCAGACUCCUACGGGAGGCAGCAGUAGGGAAUCUUCCGCAAUGGGCGAAAGCCUGACGGAGCAACGCCGCGUGAGUGAUGAAGGUCUUCGGAUCGUAAAACUCUGUUAUUAGGGAAGAACAAAUGUGUAAGUAACUAUGCACGUCUUGACGGUACCUAAUCAGAAAGCCACGGCUAACUACGU